rnacentral:rRNA from 1 species
UACAGAGGUCUCAAGCGUUGUUCGGAUUCAUUGGGCGUAAAGGGCGCGUAGGCGGCGGGGUAAGUCGGGUGUGAAAUCUCAGAGCUCAACUCUGAAAUGGCACUUGAUACUGCUCUGCUAGAGGACUGGAGAGGAGAUUGGAAUUCACGGUGUAGCAGUGAAAUGCGUAGAUAUCGUGAGGAAGACCGGUGGCGAAGGCGGAUCUCUGGACAGUUCCUGACGCUGAGGCGCGAAGGCCAGGGGGAGCAAACGGG